UCAGAGUAAUUAGAAAAAAGCCUAGAAAAACGUCCCAUUUCAUCUGCAGCAUCAAUUCUCAACACUUGAGGCAGCCGUGCCUUCCUCCGCUGUCAGCCACCAGUCGCCUUCCUCCGCCGACAGCCACCAUUCUCCAACCUCAGUUUCUUCUUUUUUUCAGUAGGUACUUCUUGAUCAAAGCAAGUUCUUGAAAUUCAACUAGUACAUGGAUUCUCUAGUACGCCGUGGAUUACUAUUGCCGGGGACAAAGGUGCGGGACUUAAAUGCAAGGAUGCCGGUGAAGAUAGUUUUGUUGGUUCAGAACUUGCGAGGAGAAUAGCCAAGACGGCUCCCAUCAUUGGAGGUUCUGAGGCCUCUUCCCUUUUGUCUGGUCGAAAAGGAACGGUUUUGGAUUUGGCGAAGUUUGUCGACAAGGGUGUCGAAAUCAAGUUAACUGGUGGAAGACAAGGACUUUGGUGCUGAAACCUUUUGUCUGCACUUAUUAACACAUGGAGCUAUAUGAGCAAGAUGCUGAGGUUGUCAAUUGCACAAUCUAGAGUAAGACUACUGCUUGAAGGUAAUGGAAAGCCAUGUAUGUCUUCACUUUGAUUAUUGAAUCUGUGUCUACUUGAGGAGCAGUAAGUAACAUUAUGUUUACUGAUCAAUUUGCCUACUUCACCUCUGAUUGCAUGUAUGUGAUCCACUGAUGGCUAAGUGUCAUCCGUCCAUUCUCUCUUACUCUUAUUUGAACUUGACUUAAGUAUCUUAAUAUUCUCCUGGGACUGUGAUGAAACUUCCUAAGUAUUUUACUCUUAUAUGUAAUCCGCUGAAAGCUAAGUGCCAUCAUCCACUCUCUCUUACUCUUAUUUUAACUUGACUUCAAGUAUUAUAAUAUUCUCUUAGGACAGUGAUAUUUUAACUUCCCAGACCAAUUAAUGGACAGACGGAAUAUUUUCUCUCAAGUGCCAUAUAGAAAGACAGCUUUCACGGCGAUUGGGUUCAAGUAAUUUGGAGUAUUGAGUCUUUUGCACCAGAGUAUCAACCCUCCUGGGUUCGGCAGCCAGAUUCUAUUGUAAAUAAGAAUUAAGUGUGUAUGGUAGUAAUUCGGCCUUCUUUGUAUUAUGGCUCCAAUAAGACCGCCUUGUUUCUUAGCCAAAGAAGUAAAAGUUUUGAUCCGAAACCAAUUUCUUGUUGUAUAUUUAUUACUUGAUCAAAAUCAACUCAACCAUAUACACAAGUUGGUACAUCAUUGAAGCU